rnacentral:lncRNA from 1 species
UAUUUAGGAAUGCGGGACUUGGUUCAGAUUGGGAUUAAUUCAGUUAAGCAGACACUUUUGCAAGUUAGUUUCAAUAAGUUAACAAUCCAUAAUAAUAUACAAAAAAUUCCUGAACUGAGUGCGUUGAUAUCUGUUGUUACUGUUUUCACUACUUGAUAGUUGAUAUUAGAUCAUUAAGUUGUUUCUCAGUACAAAUUACUAGAAGGAAUUUCGAAGUGUGAAUACACGUGCAAAAGCUAUAUAAAAACACAUGUAUGUUUAUGCAUUUGAAUGCAAAUAGAAGUACAAAUAUUAUUAUCAAUAGAUGCAUUAUUCUUUUAUUUACAGAUUAAUAUCAGCUGCUCAACUGGAUAUUAUGAGCUUUCAAUAACUUAAGAUCAACACGAACAUUUCCUGUAGAAUCUAAAUACAAUUGUCUCAUAUGCUUGGUCCAUGUUUUAUAUACAAAAUGGACAUUCGUAAGGAAAAAUACAAGUUUGAAGUUUUAUGUUAUUCUUAUUUUUAAAUAUGCUGAUAAUGAUAUCUUUAAAAGAAAGUAAAAACAGAUAUUGAUGCAACAGUCACUAGCACGUAAAUAGUCUGACAUAAGAAUAUAGAAGCUUUAUGAUAGUGCAUCUAAUAACAACUUUUUUCUAAAAUCUAAAGAUUACAAAUAUUAGAGCAGAGCAAGCAAUUCUACACAGAAAGUUACACAAUAUGAAACAACUUUGAGUACGUGUUUGGCUUUAAAAGUAAAAGUUAGUUUUAAAUGAAUUUUUAUUUUCAAACAUGUUUGUCUAUUACUUUUUCUUAUAAGUGCAAAAAAUUACUUAGUUUGAAAGUAACUUUUGCAUUAAAUGUCAAAAUAAGAACUUAUUUCUAACUUUACCUAAUAAAAGUUAAUUAUUUUGGAACUUACUUAUUUAAUAAGUAACGUUUUAAGCUUAGCCAAACAUGCUCUAACUUGUAUAUAUAAUCUUGAAUCUUUCUAUAUGACAUAGCAUAUUUAUAUUACUAUGUAAACACCACCAAGGUGCAUAGGUGUAGGUUAGUAUACCUUAAUGUUAGUUCAUGAGCAACCCAAACUGAGCUAGUCUUUGCAUCGGAUUUCUCUGAUCACGUCAAGAAAGGGAAAUAAAUUGAGUCAAAUCCUGUUCAUAGUUAUGUAGAGCUUCUAAAUUUAUCUAAUGAAAAGUUUUAAAGCUUAGCCAAACAUGCGCUAAGUCAUAUAUAUAAUCUUUAAUCUUUCUAUAUGACAUAGCAUAUUUAUAUUACUAAGUAGGCACCACCAGGUGCAAAGGUGUAGGUUAAUUUACCUUAGCUCUGGUUCUUAAGCAACCCAAACUGAGCUAGUCUUUGUAUCNN